UACGUAGGUGGCAAGCGUUGUCCGGAAUUAUUGGGCGUAAGGCGCGCGCAGGCGGUCCUUUAAGUCUGAUGUGAAAGCCCACGGCUCAACCGUGGAGGGUCAUUGGAAACUGGGGGACUUGAGUGCAGAAGAGGAAAGCGGAAUUCCACGUGUAGCGGUGAAAUGCGUAGAGAUGUGGAGGAACACCAGUGGCGAAGGCGGCUUUCUGGUCUGUAACUGACGCUGAGGCGCGAAAGCGUGGGGAGCAAACAGG
rnacentral:rRNA from 1 species